UAGGGAAUCUUCCACAAAUGGGCGCGAAGCCGUGAUGGAGCAACGCCGCGUGAGUGAAGAAGGGUUUCGGCUCGUAAAGCUCUGUUGUUAAAGAAGAACACGUAUGAGAGUAACUGUUCAUACGUUGACGGUAUUUAACCAGAAAGUCACGGCUAACUACGUGUCAG
rnacentral:rRNA from 1 species